CUUGUUCAGAAAUCGGCAUCGUACUUGUGUUGACUCGUCUGAUUCAUUGCCUUCAAUCAAAUGUAAGUGGUUUACCAAAAUUCAUCAAGAAGUUGACCAGGCAGGCAGGCAUACAUUGAAGUCACAGACAACAUUGUAUUUUCUUCUAUAGAAUUUCUGUACAUCUCUGUAACAGAAGUUUGACUAGCUUAUCUGAAUCUAUCUUUUUGACAGAUGCUAAUUUGAAUGAUUGGAUGGAUGAGAGCUAUGUUGAAGAUGAUGAAUACUCCUAGGUACAUGUGCAGUACAUACAUUUAGCAGCAUAAGACAAAAUCUGCGGCACUGAAAUGAUUGUGGCUAGAUUGGAAUUUCCUCAACCUUUCAAGCUCUAGGAGGACACAGCAACUAUACAAAUAGUCAAAUUGAAGCUAUAAAAUUUGUGUCAAUGAAAACGUGUCUGAACAUUGACCUUGGCAGUUAAUAGAAUAGUUGAAUGAAUUGGGAAGCUUGCCAAGACAUUUUUGUGUCAAUGUGUGAGAUGAGAUAUAGCUGG
rnacentral:sRNA from 1 species